UUUUUAUAUGACAGCCUUUAAUAAACAAGUGGCAUGAGCCACCUCGUCCAGCCUGCAAAAUACGUUUUAUAUUGAUUAAGGAAAGAAGGAAAGAAAAGAGGAAGGAAGGAAAGACUCAGUAAGAAUAUGUAGAGGCUUCAAUUACCCAGUAUCAAUAAAGAAUAAAACAACUAGAUAGAAGAUCAGCAAGGAUAUAGGAAGCCUGAACAAUGCUAUAAACCAACUUCCCCUAACACACAGCUAUGGAGCACUCUGCCAACAGAAAA
rnacentral:lncRNA from 10 species